rnacentral:rRNA from 1 species
CAAUAGCGUAUAUUAAUGUUGUUGCAGUUAAAAAGCUCGUAGUUGAAUUUCUGGUUAAAAUGGUAGCUGGCUUUAGUCGUUAUCAUUUUAAUCAUCCGUUAGAGAACUGUAGCCGUCCUUAACUGGUCACUGCAGAGAUCUAACAUUUUACUUUGAAAAAUUAGAGUGUUCAAGGCAGGCAAUCGUCAUGAAUACUAUAGCAUGGAAUAAUGGAAUAGGACUUAGAUUCAUUUUAUUGGUUAUUGAAUCUUAGUAAUGAUUAACAGGGACAGUUGGGGCGAUUAUAUUUAAUUGUCAGAGGUGGAAAUUACUUUGGAUUUGUUUAAAGAACGGACUACUGCGAAAGACAUUUGUCCAAGG